GUAGUGGUUCGUUCAGUGGUAGAAUUCUCACCUUCCAUGUGGGAGACCUGGGUGUGAUUCCUGGCCAGUGCA
rfam:Loxodonta africana unplaced genomic scaffold scaffold_92, whole genome shotgun sequence.